CGGGUGAGUAAUGUCUGGGAAACUGCCCGAUGGAGGGGGAUAACUACUGGAAACGGUAGCUAAUACCGCAUAACGUCGCAAGACCAAAGAGGGGGACCUUCGGGCCUCUUGCCAUCGGAUGUGCCCAGAUGGGAUUAGCUAGUAGGUGGGGUAAUGGCUCACCUAGGCGACGAUCCCUAGCUGGUCUGAGAGGAUGAUCAGCCACACUGGGACUGAGACACGGUCCAG
rnacentral:rRNA from 1 species